GACGAACGCUGGCGGCGUGCUUAACACAUGCAAGUCGAGCGGUAAGGCCCUUCGGGUACGACGAGCGGCGAACGGGUGAGUAACACGUGGGUGACCUGCCCUUCACUCUGGGAUAAGCCUGGGAAACUGGGUCUAAUACCGGAUAUGACCUGCUCUCGCAUGGGGGUUGGGUGGAAAGUACAGUAUUGUAGUGAUGCUGGC
rnacentral:rRNA from 1 species